UCCGAUUGUAAGUUCAGGACCCUGCUUCUCUGCAUCCCGAGCGUCUCUGGGAAGCCCCUGUCACCUGAGCUGCCCGGCACUGGGAGCGAUCGCUACGCCUCGCCGUGCCCUGAGAGGUGUGGGAAAUCCAAUAGUGAACGAGACACUGGACUAGAAGGAACAUUCAGAACUUGGAGGGCAUGGAACAGAUAGGACCUAAGUUUUCAGGAACGGAAUCUUCAAACGUUCAAAUACUCCUGUCUGGACUGUUGGUGCUGCCGUGCCAUCUCACUAAAACAAAGCAACAAGUAACCUAUGGAAUUGUGGGUUUCUGCAUUGAAGAGCCUCAGAUUGCUGUCCACGGGCAGCCCCAAACUAUCCUGCUGCGCACACUGCUCCUGGGUCUUCCUGCUGGUGCCUCAUCCAGCAGAGCUCUGCCUCUGGUCUUCGUGCCUUUUCUGUGCUGCCUCCUGCCUGCAAUGUCUUCUACUCUGCCAAGUCUCAGUAAAGAUGCAGCCUCCUCCAGGAAGCCCUCUUAGAUUACUCUAGGCUACCCCUCUCUACCUGCUGUCCUGGAAGCUCCUGCUCAAGGCCUCCUCCCAGCAACACAGAAGCCAAAAUGAGCCUCAUUAUCCAGUCUCUGAGUAGGACUCAAGGAUGCUCCCAUAGGUCCGGCUAAUGUUUCCUUGAUGAAGCUGCUUCUCUUUGUCGUGAUCCUGGGCUGCUGUCAAUGAUGUCAAUGAUACAUACCCUGCUCCUGAUUUCUUCAAUGGUGAAUAAGACUUAUUUCUUGGUAUUUCAAGACACCUGGCUGGGACAGCUCUCGGAUGACAGGUCAUAAUCUCAGGAUGUCACUGUCUCAGAGCUAUCAACCACUGUGAUCAGCAGCAUCACCUAUAUCCCACCACCAAAGAUCUCCACAUGAUGUUGCAGCCUGGCUCUCAAUCCUUGUCAACAGCCACUCCCUUCCCUCUCUUAAAUGCCUCUGCAGUCUUCUUUGCCUCAUAUUUAUACGAUCCCAAAGCAGAUCAGCAAUACUGACCAGGGCCUCUGUAUACCCCCACUCAGCUCUGAAGCAGGCCUAGAGGUCAGAUGUUUAACCAUUGUUACUGAUUUCACCUUGCUGAUCUGUCAGAAAGAAAACAUAGCAAUAAAAAAGGCCCUGAAUAAAGCGGAAUUUUCAUACCAGCCACCAGGCAUGAUACCUAAAGUCUGACUCCUAAUAAUGUGCACCUCACUCAGACAUCUAGAACCUAAGACCUAAUUAUCCACAGUGCCUGAGUAAAUGGCCAGAUAAAAACAAACAAACAACAAACAUACCGAAAAAUUUACUACUUAACAAGAUAAGGAGCUGCCUACCACUCAGUCCAGGUAUGGCUGGCUCAUGGGAGAAAACCAAGCAACUUCCUCCUCAACUACUACAUAAAAGAUUUUCAUCUCUUCUCAGUUGGGUAUCUCUAGGAUGCUGUUUUCUUGUAAGGCAAUCUUCUUUGCUUUCCUGUGUCCUGGAUAAUUCUUGUAUAGCCCUUAGUGCCCUUUUAAAAGAGGCCUAAGGGAGCCUCUUUGUCCCCUUCUUCAUGAGGAGCAUGUAGAAGGUACCCUCUGUGAGGCGUGAGCCUCCCUAUACACCAAACCUGCUGGAACCUUGAACUUGAACUUCCCAACCUCUGGAGCUGUAAGUAGUACAUUUCUGUUCAUAACUAACUGGGACAAACCAUUUUGUUAAAGCAGCUGGGAAAGACUUAGACAUCAACCCUCACUUCUCCUGAAAUGUCCCCAUCUUUGUUAGCCUGUAUUCUACAGUUAUGCUUGCUACAUAGCAGAUACAAACAACAGGCACUGGUUUCUUACAGUUCUAGAAAUUCUGUAUUAUCUUUUUUUUUCCUGGCUUGUAGAUGCCACUUUCUCGUACUGUCCUUACACUAGAGGGCGUGAACUCUCUGUUCUUUUUUCUUCUCUUUUCAGGACAGUGAUCUCUGCAUCCUGUUAGAAGCCAGAUCCAUCCAAGGCUUUCUCAGAGGCCACGAUAAAAGGACAAAGGGAACAGUAGUUCUGUGUCCUUGCCCAGGGGCAGAUUUGGAAGGCCCAGUCUGCGGUUGAAAGAGUUAAGGUUUUGGUUGCUGGGAACCUGAGAAUCCCAUCUGAAGGGCCAUGAUUAUCACCCCUAAGGCAGCUACAUCUGACAUAUACUGUGUUCUCUUUGCCAAUAUUGUUUGGUUUAGCAUCUGCUGAUCUUGGCCCAUUAUCCCCCUAUGAAUAGUGUAUAAAAUUCUGUCCUUCUUAAUAAAGUUUCUUGGUGUAAGUCAU